CUCACAAACCAUUUUAAUUUUGUACACAUGCAACGCAACUUGCGAUUAAAUAAUCUUUUAACAUAAAUAUUGUUCAACGGAUUAUCAACACUUCCUCUUUCCAUCAUCUGCAAAUUAUGGCCAACCAAAAUUUCGUCCAAUUAACUGGUACAAUUCUUCAUUAAAUGGCCUAAAAUAAUCUCGAAGCAACGUUUCAGUCUUGGUGGAGACAAAGACAUGCGCUCGUCCUUUCGUGCUACCUAGACACCUUAAAUCAGUCUCAUUUACAUUCGUGUUGGGCUGACUAAUUUGUUUGUCAAAACAGUAGAAUCCCUUUGUUUUGUUAUACACAAAAUGUUCCCGUUUAAUGAAAGAAGGAAGAUUUAAAAAUUUCUCCACUCUUUUUAUCUCGUCAUACGGUUGCUUAAUGAGAUGUUCACCACUCACUACAUGUAUCUCGUGAGGCUUAAAAUAUCUCUGCCAUCUUUUCAAGUGUUUGGAAUAAACGCCAAUUUUUAUUGCUCCCCAUUGAGAAUUUACGUACGGUUCUCCAUCG
rnacentral:lncRNA from 1 species